GAUGAACGCUGGCGGCGUGCUUAACACAUGCAAGUCGAACGAUGAAGCCCAGCUUUCUGGGUGGAGUAGUGGCGAACGGGUGAGUAACACGUGAGUAACCUGCCCUUCACUCUGAGAUAAGCCUGUUAAACUGGGUCUAAUACCGGAUAGGAGCUUCCACCGCACGGUGGGUGUUGUAAAGAUUUAUCGGUUUUGGAUGGAUUCUCGGCCUAUCCGCUUCUUGGUGAGGUAAUGGUUCACCAAGGGGUCGACGGGUAGCCGGCCUGAGAGGGUGACCGGCCACACUGCGACUGAGACAGGGCGCAGACUCCAACGGGAGGCAGCAGGCGGGAACAUUGCACAAUGGGGGCAAGCCUGAGGCAGAGGCGCCGCGUGAGGGAUGACCGCCUUCGGGUGGUAAACAUCUUUGAGUAGGGAAGAAGAGAAAGUGACGGUACCUGCAGAAGAAGCACCGGCUAACUACGUG
rnacentral:rRNA from 1 species